rnacentral:lncRNA from 1 species
AUGGCAUGGCUGAGGGAGGCAGGAAGACAGAAGGGAAAGUUACUUUUACCUGGUGGUGCAGAUGCUAUGGAUAAAGCAUUACCCAGGGGAUCUGUUACAGAGUGCUCUACAUCCACAUGUUGCAGAAGAACGUUUGCUGUCUCAUCCAUUGGAAAGACUCUCCCAGAGCAAAGCAGCCACAGGUCAGUGCUGCUGCUCUCUGCAGGGUGCGGGAAGGUACUGUGUGACUGCUCUGAGGACAAAGUGAGAGCAACUCGGGGGAAAAAGCCUCUCAGAUCCUGCUCCUCUAUUUCGGGUGGCAGAACAAGGUUCUGUUUGGAAAUGCCCCUAGUGCCAGCAGAGGAGCUUGGGUGCUCUGGGAGUGAUGUGAGCCCCACGUGAUUUGCCUCAAAUCAUCUUUCACUGCUCUUGCUACAUUCAUUACUAAGAUAAUUCAUUGUGAUUAACGCCAUUAAUGUGAGUAGCAGUGG